rnacentral:lncRNA from 1 species
CUACUAUGCUAUCGGAAGCACGGAGCCUUCCGUGCUUCCAGCUCGUUUUCGAUGUUGCGACUUUCGAAUCGUCGAUCGGCUCCGUUAAACUUGAUCUAGAGUAUUUGAAGUACCUAGAAAAUAAAUUUUAUGAUUUUACGAUAUCAUUUGCCUAGUGAUCGAAUGAACUCAAAAUCAACAAAUUUCAAUGACCGUAGUGAGCCGUUUGUAAGUUUAACGGUGUAGAAAUAUCCAAAUCACGUGAAAUUUUGAUAAAAAAUUCUUUAUACUAUAUAAAACAAGAUCAAUAUCUUUGAUUUAAAAUUUUAAUAUCAUAUUAUUACAUUUUGUAAGAUUUUUAUUUUCAGCCGUUGAUUUUGAGCCUCUUCGUUCACUAGGCAAAUGAAAUCGUAAAAUCAUAAAAUUUAUUUUCUAGGUACUUCAAAUACUCUAGAUCAAGUUUAACGGAGCCGAUCGACGAUUCGAAAGUCGCAACAUCGAAAACGAGCUGGAAGUAUGGAAGGCUCCGUGCUUCCGAUAGCAUAGUAGCUGUUGGAACAAAGAUCGCAUAGGAAUCUAAUUGUGAUUAAAAUCUAACUAAUUUUGUGAUAACAAUAAAUAAAUCAAACUUACAGAUGACGCAAAUAUUCCAAUAAAGAUAUGAUCUUAUCCGGAAGCGUGCGAGGCACUGCCCUAAGGCGUAUUCCCGUCCUUACGUGAGAGAUUAAUCGGAAAUAACACCCCAAGGUACGACCGGAAUUCCUCAUUCUGCGAGCACGAUCGUGAAGGAGGUUGAUGGAGAUUCUCAACACCCAGUAGAUAAGAAGAAUAUUCAAAUAGUAAAAGAUAAGAGAUGAAUAGAUAAAGAUUAACAAAAUUAUCUAAAUCUCAUUUUUCAAUGAGAAGGAAAAAAAGGAGAUCAAAGUAUCGAAGAAAAAGAAAGAGAAUUCACGCUCUUUUUCUUAUGAGAAAGAAGCGGAACCGCACAACGGAACGAGUUCCUUUUGGCGCAAGAAACGGAAUGGAAAUAUUCCGUUAGUUCCUUUCUCACUAAGAAAUUAAAUAAAUAAAUAAAUAAAUAAAUAAGAUAAUAAAUAUCAAUGAAUAUUAAAUGAUAAUUCAAAAUUCAAAUAGAAUAAAAUUCAAACUUUAAAUUUUUGAGUUUUCACCAACAAUCCCCCACAAAACUCAAAAAUUUUAAAAUUACAAAUUAAAAUCAAAUUUACUGGGUGUUUUAUACUAUGCAAUGGGUGAGGUAUCUUUAAGAGACUUAACCCCACUUAGUGUAAGUGAUUUCCAUCAGAAGGAAUCGGAGUGAACCAGGUCUUGAACUACGUUCCUUUGACCCUGACUUCAACCACCACAUACACAGUAUAGAAUUCUCCGUCGCGGGUCUGUGCGUUAAUGGCCAUGCACAGUACCUUGAUUUUUCAUAAGAGUUUCUAUGGAUAGCCCAUAUCACAUAGCCGUGGCCACAUACGGAUACUCUUAUAUAGGUGGUUUCCUCCAAAGAUGUGUGUAGAGUCACAUCUCGCGAAAAUUAUCGCCUUAGAUCCCAUUAAGAGCUCUCAGCUCAACCUAAUCCACUACGCAGAGCACUACUCACCAUAGGGAUGGAAUUGGAGCUAAAGCUCCUCUGUAAAAUUUGUAGAAAGUGCUCUUGGCCAACCUAACAGCUUGUUUUUACGACAUUGAACCUUCUUCAAGGGAUCUCCUAUCACAAAGGUUGGGUUCCCACUGCAGGAAGGCCCUUUACGGGCAAAGUCCCAUCCCCCUCGAUGACUGCAGGACCAUAGUCCUCUUUGGGCCUUCAAUAUGGUAAUCUGCAAGAUUCUAGUCAAAUCUGACAAAACUCAAAUAAAUAAUAUGAUAGAUAAUUAACCAUCUAACAGAUUUCUAUCUCAAUAUAAUAUAAAUGUUUAACUUUAGAAUUUAUAAAUUUUAUUUACAAGUUAAACACAAUGAUAGACAAAAUGAAAACAUGAGAGCAAUUAUAAUAUCAAAAUUUAUCAAACUGCUAAAAGAUCUUCCCCUACAAUUUCAGAGAUAUACUAAAAUUUUAAAAUCAUGAAAUUUAAUCAUGUUGAAUAGAGUUUGAUUCAACAGCAAAAGAUGGACCAAACAAUUUUUUUUUAAAAAAAAAAAUUGAUUUCAAUUAGGUAAUUUCGAGCAAAUAACAUAUGCAAUCAAAUAAUAUCUAUGCAGCAAAUAGAUUUUAAAAAUUGCUGAAAUAAUAGGAAAAAUAAAAUUUAGAAAUAGUGUUGCAGGUUAGAUACGUGAAAUCAAAUCUCCCUUGGAACAAAAUAUUUUUCCUUCACCUUUUUUUUUUCCGAAAAAUAGUAUAUCUAUAUCUCUAAAAUUAAGUUUUAAUAUAUCAUUAAAAAUAAGUUUUAAUAAAUCUCAACAGUGGAAAAGAAAGUACUGUAGCAAUUUUUUUUUUUAAAAAAAAUUUAUUUACUGCGGCAAAUAUUUUUUAUUAAAAUCCGUACAAGUAGCAUAAAAAUUAUUGUAGUUAUAUAUAUA